CAAAAACUGCUUUAUGAUAAACCAUCCAAUCUUUGAUGUCACAGAGGAGUUUAUGAUAUGAAUGCUUAUAUAUCUUGCAGGAGCACACUCCUAUUGAAAAACAAAAAUCUUCCUUGGAGAAAAACGACAUUCAAUUCCCCAGGUGAUCCGCCACAGAAUUGAGGUGAAAGUAGAAGUCCAACAUCCUUGAGGAUCUGACAACCAUUCUACUAUGAAAUACAUAGAGAAGACGACAACAACAAACACUUAUGAUAUAUUCUUGUGUUCAUGAAACUUCAUGCAUCGCAACAUCCAUAGAGAAGGAAGGAAAUAAAAGGUCCGAAAUGGUUUUUGUAUUCGCUCCCUUGAAGCAGUGACAACCCCCUUCCGUGUUUAUCAAAACAUUCAAUGACUUAGCACUAAGAUAAGACUUGACUAGGUGGAACUUGAUCUAGGUUUUGACAUGUUUAGAGGUUCAGAAUACUUUAAGGACGGUUUCGCUGUGUAGGAAGGCUGUACUCUCUCCAAUGAAUAAAUGAAUAAAUGUGUAUAUGGAAUGGUUUGGUAUGAAAAUGUAUUAUCUAUGUAGCCAAAAAAACGUUGCUAAUUGCACAGCAAAAUGGCAACGACUGAAAGUCCUGGACCCUACCAACCGAACUGUUGAUCGCAAUAAGCAAAGUAUUUUCCACGUUUUCGUAUACAAAAGGCAAGACCUGGGCAAUACCCGAAUGAUAACAUUAAGAGCGAUCGCAAUAAGCGGCGUCUACUGUAUAUAUGAAAAG